CAAGCGGCGUGCUGUCAGAGCGAUCGCCUGCUCUGGGCAGCGGACCACACGCCAAGCGAGCUCAUUGUGUUGGUCCGUGCGGUGUUUUGCUGCCAGCCGCGCAGCCGAGUCAAUUACCUGCGCGAGCGCAGAGCCGGUUUGCACUGAUCCUCUCCGCUCUCUCCCCGUCCCCCUCGAAGAUCAGGCUUGGGAGUUGGGACACAAAUACACAUAAUAUAGAAAGGCUGCGUUAGUAAUCGACGGGUGCUGAAAUAGCCAACUUUUACAGAGGAGCCAUCGUAUGAAUGCAGCUCUAGCUAAAUUGCAUUGUUCGUUUUAUUGCAAGUGUGGAUGGCGGAGCGAGCGCCGGAAUUAUUUACUAUGUAACAGCACAUGCACUUUAUUCUGCAGCCGAUUUUUAGUAUUAAAGCAUUUUAUUUACGACCAUUUUAUUGUCACUACUAUUUAGUUUUUGUUGUUGGUUAUCUUUCUUACACUUAAAUUCUGAUAAA